AGCUAGUUCUGGGUUCUGAACCUCUAGAGUUCUGAGGACUCCAAACAUAAUGUCUCCAUCGGACCAUGAGAGCUUCUGAUUUUAAUCCUUCCAGGGUACUGGCACUGAUUUGGAGUUAUGAAGCCUCCUACUCUGGAAAGCUAAUGCAAGAGAGUGACACUACUGGCUCCUGAGUAUGUGAGAACAGCAACUACACAAUCGGAAGGGCACACACAUUUCUGGACACCUUCAGACCACACAGAAAGCCAGGAAGAUUCAGGGAAGCUUCAGGCUCUUGCCCUUGGCUACAGAAAACAGAAGUACUGGUUGAACCUCAGGUCCUUACUACUCAAAAAGCAUGCUCCAUGGAACAGCAGCGUGGACAUCACCUCAACAUCUUGUUAGAUAUGUGGAAUCCCAGAGCCAUGCCCUGGACCUACUGAGUCAGAAUCUGCGUUAAACACCAUCCUGGGGUUGAUGCAUGUGCACAUUACAAUAAAGU